GGGCCCGUGGCCUAGGCUGGAUAGAAUGAUGAUCCCUUCUGAGAUCACAGGUCUAUGGCACCAGAUUGCGGAUCUGGGGAUCCGGGGUUCAAAUCCCUGCGGGCCCGCCA
rnacentral:tRNA from 1 species